CUUAUAAGGUGAAAUUAUGAAUGACAAAAAAGUUAGACGACUGAUCAAAUUAUCAGUUGACACAUCAACGAAUGUUCUCCGUGCAUUGUGUCAGAAAACAUUAUUGUCUUGUCCUGAAGAAGAUUUCCAAAGUUUUCUCACUGAAAAUCUUCAUUAUUUUUUCAUCAAUAUGAAGGAGAAAACAUACGAUGCUGUGAAUGUACAUUAUCAGAUUGUAAAAAUACCCAGACUAAUGAUUUUCUUGCAAGCUUACAAAUAUAAAGGCGAUCCAGCUGAUGGCCAUGUAGUUACAGAAGAAGAAAAAAUUGUUCAGAAGUGUAUGCAUACGUAUGUUACACGUGACAUUUCGUAAGAUGAUCUUGAAACGGAAGCUUAAUCCGUUUUCUUAUUGGAUAAGGGGAAUUUGUCUUAAGAGGAAAAUGCAGCUUUAAUUGUUAUACGAACGAUUGCACAAAGACUCGGAGACAUGAAGCGAGAGCCUCCUCGGAACAUGGAUGUCAAAUGGGCUGAUUUAGAAAAAGCUGUUAUUUCAUUGACACAUCCACAUUAUUACCGUCAACUGGUUAAAGAAGUCUUUGAUGAAAUUUGUAACCUUGAUAAAUCAAAACCUGAGGCAUCUGGCAUCAAAAAAGAGAAAACGUUGAAUCAAACAAAGGAAUGCUCGAUAAGCGAGGAGGAAUGGAUAAGUGGCAACGAAAGCCAAUCCAUGAAAAGCAAGUCUGAUGAACAAAACAUGCAGAUGUUAACAAAAUUAUUUAAGUCAGUAAUACCAACUGAAAGAAACAACAAGUCUUCAUUGGAAAACGUAGCUGAUAUGGACAAGAUACUUAUUCAGCCAUGUGCGAUAGAAAAAAAAAUAGGAAAGUUGACUGAAGAUGUGCAGUAUCAGAAGAUUAUCAAAACUGACAAAGUUGAUAAUAACAACUACAUGUUUUAUUAGUCAUUGUAGAAAAACAUCUGUCAUUACUUCAUAUUCAGGAUAAACGCACAAAAUUCACUUAAUAAAUGAUUAAAUAUAUUAUGGCUGCUGUCAAAUUAAUAUUUUAUGACAUAUUUAGUACAGGGGAGCUGAAAGAUACAAGAUUAUAAAUCGAAAUCAAACUGACAUUGUCAUGGCAUAACACGAAAAACGACUAAAAGACAAAAAAACAACAGUACACAAAACACAACAUGGAAACCUAAAGACAGAGCAACACAAACCGCGCUUAUAGCCAAGAUCGAUCUCAGGUGGUCCGGAAGGGUAAGCAGAUUCUGCUCCACAUGUGGCAUUCGUCUUGUUGCUCAUGUUAGUAUAAACCCGGUGAUAAUUCUAAUUAUUUUUUAUCUAACAUUGAUAUAUAGUUUGAACAAUUUGAGAUCAACUUAAACCACAAACUAGAGGUAAUAGUAAAUAGCAAAUGUUCAAAUCUCAUAAAUUAAUUCAGAACAUACAAAUAUAUAUCAAGUAAGAACCAAAACAAAAGUAAGAUUUUGAAAGUCUUGAUUAAACUUCAUUCUUUUCUGAUUGAUGUUUUUCAGUAUCUAGAAAUAAAGAGACAAAAAAAAAUAGUAACAUGAAAUAAGAAACAUGCAUUUUAUUUGUAACUAAAGUUAUAAGAAUAUUUUAUGCGACUGUCAUAUAAGUGAUAGGUUGAGCUAGCUGUAACACCGGGUUUAAUCUACCAUUUUCUACAUAAGAAAAUGCCUGUACCAAGUCAGGAAUAUGCCAGUUGUUAUCCAUUCGUUAAUGUUUUGAGCUUUUGAGUUUGUCAUUUGAUGAGGGACUUUCCGUUGUGAAUUUUCCUCGGAGUUUGGUAUUUUUGUUAUAUUACUUUUUAUAUUUUUUAGUCUUUUAAUACUUUUUAUCAUGUUUAUUCUGCCCAUUAUAGAACUUCGUCCGAUGGAUGUAAAAUGGAAUAUCAAAACCCCUAAAGGAUGCAAGAUUGAAAAAAUUAUCAAGAAACUGAAGAGUAAAAUGGAAGAAAUUUCUACAAAUUUGCCAUUAAGAAUUAAAAAUAUAACCAGAGGAUCAGUCAAUAUGUUGACAACAGUUGAAGCCGGAAUCCUUACAGACCAAACAAAAUGCAAUCGUAUAUUCAAGUCCUUUCUUGGGAAAAUAGUGAAUGUCGGGGAAUUUGUGACAAAUAGACGGCAUACAAUAGAUGUUCGUGCAGAAAUUGUGCAUGAAGAUCCUCCGUUUACUUUUGAAAUGAGUGAGACAUCGUUGGAAAUGCCUGUAGAUUUAUUAAAAGCAGCAAGGAAUGCUAUCGAUUUUGGUGUAAAUGC